GCCGGAUAACAGAAGAAAGGUUCCUUUGCGGGGCAGUGUUCACUGUCCUUUCCAUUUCAGCUGACUAGGAGUUCAGCAAGACACUGUGCUUCACCAGCAAGUUAAGACAUGUGCUAUAUCCUGCCACGUUCCUCCACUUAAGAAUAUGCCCUUGACAGACUGUCUGAUCCUGAACAUAGAUACUGUGCACCAUAAACUUGCCAUAGGGCAGUGUGGCUAAAUGAAGAACGGGGAGAGCUUGAAAAAUUGGUCCUGCUUGUUCACAGUUCAGUCAUCCGACUUCUGGCAGC